GGAGCCUCACCUGGCCGGGUUCACCUGCGACGGCUCCGAGUCGCAGCUCCUCGAGUGCCUGCGGAGGGGGGAGGGGCCCGGCACCUGCACAGGUGGGGCCGCCCAGGUGCGCUGCGCCAUGCCCGCAGGUGCGGCUCCCAGCUGCGCUUACCUGGUGGCGCUGCUGGUGCUGCUGACGUCGGUGGGCGGGGCCCUGCUCUGGCUCACCUUGAGGGCCAGGUGUGUCCCAGCUCACCUGGACACCCCCAGGGCCCCCAGCGCCAUUUACCUGCCCAGGAGAGCCUCACCUGGUGAGGCCGAGGCGCUGCAG